GACGAACCGUGCAAACGUUGUUCGGAAUCACUGGGCAUAAAGGGCGCGUAGGCGGUCGGUCAAGUCUGGGGUGAAAUCUUUCGGCUCAACCGGAAAAGUGCCCCGGAUACGGAUCGGCUGGAGGGAGGUAGGGGUCGACGGAACUUCCGGUGGAGCGGUGAAAUGCGUAGAUAUCGGAAGGAACACCGGUGGCGAAAGCGGCAUCCUGGACCGACACUGACGCUGAGGCGCGAAAGCUAGGGGAGCAAACGGG
rnacentral:rRNA from 1 species